rnacentral:rRNA from 1 species
CAUAGCGACUAUCGUGGCAUAUCAAUAAGCGGAGGAAAAGAAACUAACUAGGAUUCCCUCAGUAACGGCGAGUGAAGCGGGAAGAGCUCAAAUUUGAAAUCUUCAAGGUUCUACCUUGACGAAUUGUAGUUUAUAGAAGUGUUUUCUGUAGUGGAGUUUGGUAAAAGUUCCUUGGAAUAGGACAUCAUAGAGGGUGAGAAUCCCGUAUUUGGUCAUUCUUCCUAGCGUUGUGAUACACUUUCAACGAGUCGGAUUGUUUGGGAAUGCAGUCCAAAAUGGGUGGUAAAUUUCAUCUAAAGCUAAAUAUUGGCGAGAGACCGAUAGCGAACAAGUACCGUGAGGGAAAGAUGAAAAGAACUUUGAAAAGAGAGUUAAGCAGUACGUGAAAUUGUCAAAAGGGAAGCGUUUGACACCAGUGUUGUUUUUCCGAAAAUCAAUUACGAAUGUUUUAUUUUUGAGGAAGUUAUGACUUCAUCGGCUUGCUUCUCUCUUUAUGAAACUUUCUUAAUGCACUUUUCGGUUAACAAGUCAACAUCAAUUUCUUUUGUUGUAAAAGGGUCAUGAGGAAGGUGGCUUUCUUUUCGGAGAAAGUGUUUAUAGCCUUGUGAUCUCUGCAAUCGGAGAGACUGAGGUCUGCAGCGUAGACUCUUCGGGGUUAGAUACGUUUGUGCUAAGCUAUAGCUUUUAUAGACAACUUGUUGACUAUAGUUUAGUCAUUGUAGCUUACUCGCUUAAGUGCUAUUUUACCUACGCUUAGGAUGUUGACGAGACUGUCGAUCUC